UUGAAUAUUCGUCGGAAAACAAAGGUUCUCCAUAAGGUUUUGUCGAUUUCGUGCUGAUCUCGAUUUCUGUUCACCUCACCGCCAUCGCCGUUAGGUUCCCUGCCCUGUUCCGACAAAAACCCAAUCAGUUUUGUCCCUUCCCGCCGUUGUUUCCAACGACCACCAUUGGAGUCUUCCGAGCGUUCUUCUGUUGUCCAUGUCCCUGUCACCCUCCACACGUGCUGCCAUGCGCCUCCGCGAUGCGUGGCCUUUGUCCCUGCGAAUCUUCUGGAAAUCUAAGUCAACUCGAUCGAGUUUUAUAUUGCACUUAUUGGAACAUACUGAUCUCCCUAGCUCACUCCCCUAUCUUUUUCUUUUA